rnacentral:rRNA from 1 species
GAUAAACGCUGGCGGCAUGCCUAAUACAUGCAAGUCGAACGGAGUUAAAGAUGCUUGCAUCAAUAACUUAGUGGCGAACGGGUGAGUAACACGUAGUUAACCUACCCAUUGGACUGGGACAACUUUUGGAAACGAAAGCUAAUACCGGAUAGGAAGAAAUUUUAAAGAAGCGUAAUGCUUCACCAAUGGAAGGGACUGCGUCUGAUUAGCUAGUUGGUAGGGUAAGAGCCUACCAAGGCGACGAUCGGUAGCCGGACUGAGAGGUUGAACGGCCACACUGGGACUGAGACACGGCCCAGACUCCUACGGGAGGCAGCAGUAGGGAAUCUUGCACAAUGGACGGAAGUCUGAUGCAGCAAUGCCGCGUGAGUGAAGAAGUUUUUCGGAAUGUAAAACUCUGUUAUAUGGGAAGAAAGACUAGAGCAGGAAAUGGCUUUAGUGUGACGGUACCAUAUGAGGAAGGGACGGCUAACUACGUGCCAGCAGCCGCGGUAAUACGUAGGUCCCGAGCGUUAUCCGGAAUUAUUGGGCGUAAAGGGUACGCAGGUGGUUAUAAAAGUCUGAUGUGAAAUUUUUGUGCUCAACGCAAAAAGGUCAUUGGAAACUGUAUAACUUGAGAGCAGGAGAGGUAAGUGGAAUUCCUAGUGUAGCGGUGAAAUGCGUAGAGAUUAGGAGGAACACCAGUGGCGAAGGCGGCUUACUGGACUGUGUCUGACACUGAGGUACGAAAGCGUGG